CGUGUAGCCCACCUGCAGAUAAGGUACGACUGAAGGGCCGUGGUAGACUCCCACGUAGAUAGGCUGCAGGUGGAAGCUCGGUGUCUGGUGGAGCCAAGCAGUACUAAUAGCCCGUUUGGCUUGGCCUU
rnacentral:rRNA from 1 species